rnacentral:lncRNA from 1 species
UGCCAUUUUUUUCAAAUUUUGAGCUCUAGUUUCAGAUUUUUGAACAUAGCGCCUUUCGAUACCUUGCGCAAAAGAAGCGCCUGUUUCUCCUCUACAAGACCUAUAUAGUCAUACCCCGUGACACCCCUCAUUAUUUUUCUCUAGAAGCCCUAGGCCGAUCCGUUUCUGCAUAUGUGUAUUUUAAUUAAACAAUGACCCAAUGUGCUAUAUUUUACAGGGUAGGACUACUUUUACAUACGUUCUAAAUUGAAGAGGGUGCAUUGGUGGCCCUACACCUACAAAUAAUCCGUUGAUAGAUGCAGAGAUAUUGUGGUACUGAAUAUUAGCCUAAAAAGAGAUGUGACUUGUUUUAUCAAUAGAUGGGAUAAAAACCAUUUCAAAAUUGAGUUAAAAUUGCUAUAUUUUAACGGAUUUUCUGCCUUUUGAAAUUUU